rnacentral:rRNA from 1 species
AGUGAACGCUGGCGGUAGGCCUAACACAUGCAAGUCGAACGGCAGCACAGUAAGAGCUUGCUCUUACGGGUGGCGAGUGGCGGACGGGUGAGGAAUACAUCGGAAUCUACUUUUUCGUGGGGGAUAACGUAGGGAAACUUACGCUAAUACCGCAUACGACCUACGGGUGAAAGCAGGGGAUCUUCGGACCUUGCGCGAUUGAAUGAGCCGAUGUCGGAUUAGCUAGUUGGCGGGGUAAAGGCCCACCAAGGCGACGAUCCGUAGCUGGUCUGAGAGGAUGAUCGGCCACACUGGAACUGAGACACGGUCCAGACUCCUACGGGAGGCAGCAGUGGGGAAUAUUGGACAAUGGGCGCAAGCCUGAUCCAGCCAUACCGUGUGGGUGAAGAAGGCCUUCGGGUUGUAAAGCCCUUUUGUUGGGAAAGAAAAGCAGCAGGUUAAUACCCCGCUGUUCUGACGGUACCCAAAGAAUAAGCACCGGCUAACUUCGUG